rnacentral:rRNA from 1 species
UACGUAGGGUGCGAGCGUUAAUCGGAAUUACUGGGCGUAAAGCGUGCGCAGGCGGUUUUGUAAGCCAGAUGUGAAAGCCCCGGGCUUAACCUGGGAAUGGCAUUUGGGACUGCAAGGCUUGAGUGCGGCAGAGGAGACUGGAAUUCCUGGUGUAGCAGUGAAAUGCGUAGAUAUCAGGAGGAAUACCGAUGGCGAAGGCAGGUCUCUGGGCCGCAACUGACGCUGAGGAGCGAAAGCAUGGGGAGCGAACAGG